UACGUAGGGGGCGAGCGUUGUCCGGAAUUACUGGGCGUAAAGGGUCUGUAGGUGGCCAACUAAGUCAGACGUGAAAUCCCUCAGCUUAACUGGGGAACUGCGUCUGAUACUGGAUGGCUUGAGUGUGGGAGAGGAAUGCGGAAUUCCAGGUGUAGCGGUGAAAUGCGUAGAUAUCUGGAGGAACACCGGUGGCGAAGGCGGCAUUCUGGACCAUAACUGACACUGAGAGACGAAAGCCAGGGGAGCAAACGGG
rnacentral:rRNA from 1 species